UGUUCUAGGCAGUUUGUUUUUCCAUAUUGAAACAAAGAAACUUGCUGAGAUUUUUAUUGUAAUUACUUUGUCUGCAUAUUGAUUUGGAAUUAACUUUGGAAUAAUAUUGGAUAUUACAAGCCAUGGAAAAUGUUACAAUGUCAUUGCUACAUGAAGAGAAGAUCAAGAGAAUUCAGCCAGAAGACUGUAGAAACAAAGAUAUAACAGUUUUGGAUUAUUGCUUGCUCUUGAAAUGUGUUGUUUCAAAGGAACACAUUAUUUUGGACAUGCAAUCAGAUGAAACAUUAAAGGAGAGAAGCCUGAAGAACAAAGCAGCCACAGAUCAACAGGAGUAUAGUUUAUUAGAGGUUGGUUAGAGACUUUUUGCUAAUGAGCUGUACUGUCCAUAGGCAUCAUCAUGGGGUUCUCAAAUCUAAUGAUACCCAUGCCAUCAAUUCUGAGUAAAGUGGUUACAAAAGAAACUGAUAUUUAAUUUUUACUAUAAUAGAAAAUGGCAUGUAUAUGUGUCUUAAUUCAUUCAGUAGAUGCAACAUAGGGUAGUGGAAUGAUCACUUUCCUGUAUAAUUAAUUGUAAGAGCUAGA